AGAGUUUGAUCCUGGCUCAGAAUGAACGCUGGCGGCGUGCCUAACACAUGCAAGUCGAAUGUGCCGCAAGGUGCAUGGCAGACGGGUGAGUAACGCGUAGGGAAUCUACCUUUUUGUGGGGAAUAACGCUCCGAAAGGAGUGGUAAUACCGCAUGAGACCAGUGGCUGGGAUGCUGCUGGUGAAACCUGGGGACCGCAAGGCCUGGGGCAAGAAGAGGAUCCUGCGUCUGAUUAGCUAGUUGGCGGGGUAAUGGCCCACCAAGGCGACGAUCAGUAGCCGGCCUGAGAGGGUGAUCGGCCACACUGGAACUGAGACACGGUCCAGACUCCUACGGGAGGCAGCAGUGGGGAAUUUUGCGCAAUGGACGAAAGUCUGACGCAGCAACGCCGCGUGGGUGAUGAAGGUCUUCGGACUGUAAAACCCUGUCGUCAGGGACGAAGGUUGAGGGGUUAAUAACCCUUUAGCUUGACGGUACCUGGAGAGGAAGCCCCGGCUAACUCUGUGCCAGCAGCCGCGGUAAUACGGAGGGUGCGAGCGUUGUUCGGAUUUACUGGGCGUAAAGGGCGCGUAGGCGGUCUUAUAAGCCAGAUGUGAAAGCCCACGGCUCAACCGUGGAAGUGCAUCUGGAACUGUAAGACUUGAGUACUGGAGGGGAGUGUGGAAUUCCCGGUGUAGAGGUGAAAUUCGUAGAUAUCGGGAGGAAUACCGGUGGCGAAGGCGACACUCUGGACAGAUACUGACGCUGAGGCGCGAAAGCGUGGGGAGCAAACAGGAUUAGAUACCCUGGUAGUCC
rnacentral:rRNA from 1 species